GCUUUUCUUUUUUUUUUUUUUUUUUUUUUUUUUUUUUUUGCUUUUUUUCUGUUGUGGGUUUUUUUUUUUUUUUUUUUUUUUUUUUUUUUUUUUUUUUUUUUUUUUUUUUUUU